UACGGAGGGUGCAAGCGUUGCUCGGAAUUAUUGGGCGUAAAGCGCACGCAGGCGGCAAAGUAAGUCAGAUGUGAAAUUCCCGGGCUUAACUUGGGAUCUGCAUCUGAUACUGCCUUGCUUGAGUACGGAAGAGGGGAGCGGAAUUCCCAGUGUAGAGGUGAAAUUCGUAGAUAUUGGGAGGAACACCGGUGGCGAAGGCGGCUCCCUGGUCCGAUACUGACGCUCAUGUGCGAAAGCGUGGGGAGCAAACAGG
rnacentral:rRNA from 1 species